rnacentral:lncRNA from 1 species
GGGCGGCCAUUCCCAGGACUUUGGACUUGGUUCCGUUGAACCCCUGAACCGGACUGCAUUUGGAACCACCCUGGGAACACACCUCUGGGAACCAAGGUUGCUAGGAGAGCACCUGUGCCCCCAGCACUCUGGUCCAGCGAGGGCAGGGAAGGAGAGCUGGAAACUGGUAGAGUCCCGCUACCUGCUACGUCCUGAGGCUCUCAGGGAGCAGGAGUAUCUGAACAUGAGUGGCAAAAACUGGAUAUUGAUCUCUACUACUUCACCCCAGAGCCUGGAAGACGAGAUUCUGGGACGGCUUCUGAAAAUUC